rnacentral:rRNA from 1 species
UACAGAGGGGGCAAGCGUUAUUCGGAAUUAUUGGGCGUAAAGGGCGCGUAGGCGGCCUGACAAGUAGAAGGUGAAAUCCCUCGGCUUAACCGAGGAACUGCCCUCCAAACUGUUUGGCUUGAGACCGGGAGAGGUGAGUGGAAUUCCCAGUGUAGCGGUGAAAUGCGUAGAGAUCAGGAAGAACAUCGGUGGCGAAGGCGCUCUGCUGGACCAUAACUGACACUCAGGGACGAAAGCUAGGGGAGCGAAUGGG